rnacentral:rRNA from 1 species
AUACAGAGGGUGCGAGCGUUAAUCGGAAUUACUGGGCGUAAAGCGCGCGUAGGCGGCUUAUUAAGUCAGAUGUGAAAUCCCCGGGCUCAACCUGGGAACUGCAUCUGAUACUGGUAAGCUAGAGUUUUGGAGAGGGAAGUAGAAUUUCAGGUGUAGCGGUGAAAUGCAUAGAGAUCUGAAGGAAUACCAGUGGCGAAGGCGACUUCCUGGCCAAAGACUGACGCUGAGGUGCGAAAGCGUGGGUAGCAAACGGGAUUAGAAACCCUAGUAGUCC